GUCAACGGCUAUACCACUCUGACUGUGCCCGAUCUUGUCUGAUCUCAGAAGCCAAGCAGAGUCAGGCCUGGUUGGGAGAAUUACAAGAAAAAGACGAAUGGAUGAAUUCC
ensembl:rRNA nuclear encoded rRNA 5S 48